rnacentral:RNase_P_RNA from 1 species
CAGGCUGGCCGGGCGAUCGCUGGGCGAUGGAAGCGACGGAGGCAGUAUUUCGACGGUCGUAUGAAGUCGUUUCAGAGGAAAGUCCGCACUCCAGAGAGCGCGAUGCCGGGUAACACCCGGGGUGGGGGCCUGUUACAGGUUACCUGCCGGAAGGGCCACAGAGACAUACCGCUAACCAGAAGUCAUUGCCGCAUAGGCGAUUUCGCCUGGCAGUAAGGGUGAAAAGGUGGCUUAAGCGACCACCGGCGCUCGCAGUAAUGUGAGCGGCCAGGCAACCCCCAUCGGGAGCAAGGCCAAGCAGGGACAAUUCCCGUCCGAUAGGGCGGGUAGGAGGCUGCUCGUCUCCUGAUCCGUUUACGGUGCAAGUCCCGGGUAGGCUGCAUGAGCGAGGUGGAAACGCCUCGCCUAGAGAGAUGAUCGCCGGGGUUGUGGGUAACACCCAACCCCACAGAAUGCGGCUUAUAGGCCGGCCUGAGGU